GACGAACGCUGGCGGCGUGCCUAAUACAUGCAAGUAGAACGCUGAAGAGAGGAGCUUGCUCUUCUUGGAUGAGUUGCGAACGGGUGAGUAACGCGUAGGUAACCUGCCUUGUAGCGGGGGAUAACUAUUGGAAACGAUAGCUAAUACCGCAUAACAAUGGAUGACACAUGUCAUUUAUUUGAAAGGGGCAAUUGUUCCACUACAAGAUGGACCUGCGUUGUAUUAGCUAGUAGGUGAGGUAAUGGCUCACCUAGGCGACGAUACAUAGCCGACCUGAGAGGGUGAUCGGCCACACUGGGACUGAGACACGGCCCAGACUCCUACGGGAGGCAGCAGUAGGGAAUCUUCGGCAAUGGGGGCAACCCUGACCGAGCAACGCCGCGUGAGUGAAGAAGGGUUUCGGAUCGUAAAGCUCUGUUGUAAGUCAAGAACGGGUGUGAGAGUGGAAAGUUCACACUGUGACGGUAGCUUACCGGAAAGGGACGGCUAACUACGUG
rnacentral:rRNA from 1 species